UGAGUAACCCGCCCUUAACUCUGGGAUAAGCCUGGGGAAACUGGGUCUAAUACCGGAUAUGACUCCUCAUCGCAUGGUGGGGGGUGGAAAGCUUUAUUGUGGUUUUGGAUGGACUCGCGGCUUAUCAGCUUGUUGGUGAGGUAAUGGCUCACCAAGGCGACGACGGGUAGCCGGCCUGAGAGGGUGACCGGCCACACUGGGACUGAGACACGGCCCAGACUCCUACGGGAGGCAG
rnacentral:rRNA from 1 species